UCGGAAUUACUGGGCGUAAAGCGCACGCAGGCGGUCUGUCAAGUCGGAUGUGAAAUCCCCGGGCUCAACCUGGGAACUGCAUUCGAAACUGGCAGGCUAGAGUCUUGUAGAGGGGGGUAGAAUUCCAGGUGUAGCGGUGAAAUGCGUAGAGAUCUGGAGGAAUACCGGUGGCGAAGGCGGCCCCCUGGACAAAGACUGACGCUCAGGUGCGAAAGCGUGGGGAGCAAACAGGAUUAGAUACCCUGGUAGUCCACGCCGUAAACGAUGUCGACUUGGAGGUUGUGCCCUUGAGGCGUGGCUUCCGGAGCUAACGCGUUAAGUCGACCGCCUGGGGAGUACGGCCGCAAGGUUAAAACUCAAAUGAAUUGACGGGGGCCCGCACAAGCGGUGGAGCAUGUGGUUUAAUUCGAUGCAACGCGAAGAACCUUACCUACUCUUGACAUCCAGAGAACUUUCCAGAGAUGGAUUGGUGCCUUCGGGAACUCUGAGACAGGUGCUGCAUGGCUGUCGUCAGCUCGUGUUGUGAAAUGUUGGGUUAAGUCCCGCAACGAGCGCAACCCUUAUCCUUUGUUGCCAGCGGUCCGGCCGGGAACUCAAAGGAGACUGCCAGUGAUAAACUGGAGGAAGGUGGGGAUGACGUCAAGUCAUCAUGGCCCUUACGAGUAGGGCUACACACGUGCUACAAUGGCGCAUACAAAGAGAAGCGACCUCGCGAGAGCAAGCGGACCUCAUAAAGUGCGUCGUAGUCCGGAUUGGAGUCUGCAACUCGACUCCAUGAAGUCGGAAUCGCUAGUAAUCGUAGAUCAGAAUGCUACGGUGAAUACGUUCCCGGGCCUUGUACACACCGCCCGUCACACCAUGGGAGUGGGUUGCAAAAGAAGUAGGUAGCUUAACCUUCGGGAGGGCGCUUACCACUUGUGAUUCAUGA
rnacentral:rRNA from 1 species